AUUGAACGCUGGCGGCAGGCCUAACACAUGCAAGUCGAGCGGAUGAAGGGAGCUUGCUCCUGGAUUCAGCGGCGGACGGGUGAGUAAGGCCUAGGAAUCUGCCUGGUAGUGGGGGAUAACGUCCGGAAACGGGCGCUAAUACCGCAUACGUCCUGAGGGAGAAAGUGGGGGAUCUUCGGACCUCACGCUAUCAGAUGAGCCUAGGUCGGAUUAGCUAGUUGGUGGGGUAAGGGCCUACCAAGGCGACGAUCCGUAACUGGUCUGAGAGGAUGAUCAGUCACACUGCAACUGAGACACGGUCCAGACUCCUACGGGAGGCAGCAGUGGGGAAUAUUGGACAAUGGGCGAAAGCCUGAUCCAGCCAUGCCGCGUGUGUGAAGAAGGUCUUCGGAUUGUAAAGCACUUUAAGUUGGGAGGAAGGGCAGUAAGUUAAUACCUUGCUGUUUUGACGUUACCAACAGAAUAAGCACCGGCUAACUUCGUG
rnacentral:rRNA from 1 species